rnacentral:snRNA from 1 species
GCGAACCGGGAAGAGCCCAGCU